AGAGCACUUUGCAAGCCACCCAGGCUUCAUUACCCCGUCAAUCUGAAGAGAGAGAGAUAGAGAGGGAGAAACAGGCCGGCCAGGGCCCAGCAGUGGGGCCGGAUCCAUAUGGUGCUGCCGGCUCUGGAAUGAAUAGUGAAUGGAGCGGCUGGGCGCUGGGCUGCUGGAAUCUGCCUCCAAGCCUUUGUGAACAGGAUGACCAAAGACAAGAGGGAGCUCUGCAGAUGGCCAGGGCUAUAAAUAGGUGCGACUGCGUCAAGCGAGGCUGAGUUCCUGGAUUGAACCGCGGGAGGUUCUCAGCAGUCAAGAGACACUUGGAUGCUGCUGAUGCUGCUGAUGCCCUGCGGAUUGAACUUUGGCGGGUAUAGUUUUGUUUGCGUAUUUCAUCCCUUUUUAGGCCGGCGUGUUGGUGGUUUUUUUUAUGUUUUCAUCAGUCGUGCUCUGAUAUGUUCUGUUGUUGGCUGUACUGUUGUGUGUAUCUGUGUGUGUGUGUGUGUGUGUGUCCACAGCAUGGCAGUCCAUCUGUCUCCAGGAGAGCAGCUUCCGGUUCUCUUCCUCUCAUCUCUGCCACUGCAGGAACACACAACCUGCAGGAUUAAGGCCCAUCCUUGUCAUCCCACAGGGCAGAGUGGUUUGAUUGACAGCUGGGUUCAGCAUCUUGACACAGGUCCGUGCCCCCGUCAUCAUCGCUGAUCGUCCCAUGCCGGCCUCUCAGAGUGACAGGUGCCUGCAGAGCCAUUUACUCCUCACGCAGCCGAAAAGAAAAAGUCGCCACGACUGCUCUCCUCCGCUUCCUGCACCUCUUCGUAACGUAUUUCCUUUUUAGCUUCCUGUAUUUCCCUUUUUUUUAGUAUUGUUUUUUUUCAUUUGGUUCUCCUUGACCUCAUCCUCUUUUCUCUCGUCUCUGAUCAACUCUCAAGUAUCUUCUGCAGGCAUCUUUUAAUCUAAAGGAAUCUGCCAGAUCUUAAUUAAGGUAAUUACUGUGUUUGUUUUAACUUAACACUCAUGACUCCACUCGAGCUACAAUCUUUGAGCGGGCUAUAACAGAUGGGGUGCUUAGUACUCCAUUGGGAUGCCUGACAGGAGUCAGCUGUAUGAUUUUUGAGCUUGAUGUUUUUUAGCUUAAUUUACCUCGCAAAACCGCUUAACAGGAAUUCCUCCCAAACCUUUCGCACAAAUGUUAAAAGGUGUCAUUAAUGUGUUAGGAGGGAAACCGAAACUGCUAUAUUUAUCAUGCGGAAUGGCUGGUUAGCUUUUAAUCACCACCACAAAAUGCGACAUUCCCUGAAGCUCUGUCACUAUGUGUUUUUUUUCGCAUGUACGUUUGGGCCUCAAGGGUUCUGGUUCAUCAACUCACAUUCAUCUCGUGACGAGCUGCUACACAACGUGUGGCGAUCCGCGAGCGACAAAACGCGUCUCUAUCUGUCUCGUUUGCUACUCAAAAGUUAGGAAACUCCAGGUUGUAAGCGUUUUAACAUGUAUCAUGUAACAUGUAACAUGUAUCAUGACCGAGAUACAUAUUGUGUGUGUGUGUGUGUGUGUGUGAGAGACCCAGAAGGACAGGAGGGCAUCAGAUGAGUACAGACUGUUUCCACCUGCCAGGUGCUUGGUCUCUAAUCCCCCCUCUCUGUCUGAUUAAACACACACACACACACACACACACACACACACACACACACACACACACACACACAUGCGUGUGCACGGGCACAACAAGGUCAUCUCUCUGUCAACCAUACAAUAGCGCUGUGUACCCAUCUGGCCUACAUCCUAAAUGCUUCCUCUUCAGUAAGCAAAUAAAAAAAAGGAGAAGACAGCAAACACUUGGAUCCAUAGCAACAGGUUACAAGUAAAUGACGAUUACAACAAUGGCGCUAUUUUACCACGUACUCCUUGUUCAUAAUGACAUGUCAUGUGCAGCCUGAUCUCCAAAACCUGUUCGUAAAAAUGUACACGAAAAUCUUGAAAAUACAAAUUUCGUAGUGAUACAUACGAAAUGACGUCACCCUAUUCAAAGUGAACGGGGACCUGCACCCCGUAAACACACUUUGUGAAGUCUAACGAUGUAAAAUAAACGUGUUAUGAUUGCAUUUUUAACGAGAAAUCAGUGUUAACUUGUAAGAAUAGAAUCCUAACCCUAACCCCCUCCAAAAAUCCGGCGAGGCGGAGAGACGUUCACUCAAGAAUCCGACAUGGUCCGCCAUGUUGUUCACUCAAGGGGCGUGGUUAACCCCCGCAGUUCGUAGGU
ensembl:lncRNA